CAAUUGGGUAAUGUUGCUGCUUUUGCCACAGUUGUAUGUCCAACAGUCUAUUCCUGUUAAUAACAGUGUAUGAUGGCAUAUGCAAUGAUGGUAGUGUGUUUAUGUCAAAUUUGAAAUAUAUUAUUUAACUUUUAAAAUGUAGUGACUUUUGAAUGGAAACUUUCUAAAUGUCUGUAAUCUUCCGUUAAUGGCACUUAGCUACUGACAACAAUUAAAAGCCCACUAGAAUGAAAUUAUUUAAAGAGUUAGUUGAGCAAGUAUGAAUAUACUAUAUGCCACAGAUAUACAGUGGAUAUCAAAAGCUAUGCAGCUUUGGUUUUGAUAAAUUGUAAUUGCAAUUUGUCCCACUCUUCUUUGAAAAAAAAACUUUUGCAAGAGAGUCUCCUGAGUGCAGCCCUCUUUAGGUCAGUCCACAGAUUUUCUACAGGGUUGAGGUCUGGCCUCUGACUGGGCCAUUCCAACAUUAUGGCUUUUUGCACAAGAUUCCUUGGUUGAUUUGGAUGUGUAAUAUGGAUGGAUUCCAUGUUGAAAGGUGAAAUUAACAACUUCAGCUUUCUUGCAGAGAUCAGCAGGAUUCAUGUCAAAAUAUAUUGAGCUAUUCAUUGUCCACUCCAUCCUGACCAAACUGCCUGCUCUGCUGAGAAGCAGUCCCAUAACUUGAUACUGUCACCACCAUGCUAGUAACCAUGUACUUUGAGUGAUUUGUUUGCUUUGUGCCAAACAUAUCUUGUGGGACUAAGGCAAGCAAGUUCUAUUUGGGUCUCAUCAGACUUAACAAUUUCCCAGAUGGUUUUAGGACAUUGAAUGUGUCUUGCAAUAUUUUUAUGGGCUUGGAGUUUAUUUUUUGUGAGAAAUGGACACUAGCCACUGCUCAGACUUAUUGAGAAUAUGUUAAAUUGUUGUAAUAUGCAGGGAAUGCCAUAUUCCUCCCAGAAAGUCCUGCCACUCCUUUAAGGUUUCUGCUGGUGAUUUGGUAGCCUCCCUAAAGAGUUUCUCCUUGCCCUCAUCAGUUUUGGAUGGACGUCCUGACCAUUGCAAUGCUGCGGUGCUGCCAUCAUGCCUCCACGUCUUAAUAAUUUUUUUCAAAGGCUUCCUUUAUGCAUGUAAUGCCUUUGAAAUUUGUUUAUUUCCCUUUCCUGAUCUGUACCUUUCAAUAAUAAGAUCCGAUACCAUGACUAUAUUAAAGGCUAAUCAGAAUCCCUUCAGUUGAUGUUAGGUGAUGGCAAAUUAAAUUUGUACAUGAUUUGGAAUCGAUUGGUUAAAUCUGGACAUGGUUACAAUCCCAUUAUGGAGUAUGAAAACUUACACAACAAAGGCAAUGACAUUUAAUUUUUUUUCUCCUUCACUUAAAUAUUGUUGGUUACAAAGUUGUCUUAAAGGUGAAAAAAGGUCUGACAUGAACUGGCAAUCAUUGUCGACCAAUAUUUAACCUAGAAGUGGUCUAAUAACUAGCAACGAAUAUUGUCUAUUUUUCAGCCUUUACAUGAAUAAAAGCUUUAUUUUCAGUAAGGGUGUGUAGAAUUUUGAUAGCCAUUGUACUGUUGCCUCGCUAUUCCUCGCUCUUUGCCUUGAUAACAUCUGUGGAGGGCAGAGUGACAGUUUGCAAUAUUUUGUAUAAAUGUGUAUCGGUAUGUCUGAUCUUGAACAUUGUUUCAAGUGCUGAGAGCAGUGAGAUAUUUCCUUACAUAGUUGUUUAUCAAAUAUCUUAAGUAAUUUCUAAGUAGUUUUCUUUGUUCACAGGAAACAUAGCAUCUAGGUAUAAUUCCCCUGUGAUUUUCAUCACUAAAGCAAAUCCCAUUACAUUUUCACAUUCUAUGAAAUAGCCCACUGUGGUGUGAUGUUCAGCGCAGGUCAGCAUUUCAUAAAGGUUUUUAGAUUAGGGCUUGAGAUUAUGUACACCAAAAUACAAAUAGUUGAUUGUAAAUUGCAUAGUAUUGGGUUUUAUGAAGCAAGAAUCCACUUUUAUUAUUGUAAAAGGCCUAUAGAAAAUUAGACCAUGCAAGCUACCGUCUCUGUAUUUCAUGCAUAACCAAACUCUGUACAAAGUACAACACACUGCCCCUUGAGUCAUGUAUAUGCUUUUUACCUGUGUUUUAAAGAUGGUUUCAAAUGUUUUGUCUACAUUUCUUUUUGGUUCGUUGCAUUGAAAAGAGGCUGAUACUGUGUUAGCAGUGAUGUCAGAGGGCCAGUAGGGGACAAUCUUCCCUCUUGUCUAAAGAUCAGUCCCAAUUCCCCAGGGCAGUGACGGGUCAAUUUUCUUGCAUAGGUUACCUUCUCUUGGAUGGGAACUUAAACAGGUUGCCUAACUCUCAGUGGUCGUUACCAUGCAACUUAUUGUAAGAGUAGAGGUGUUAACCCCAGUCCCCUGACUACAAGUCUUAUUUGGUCCUCCACCAUCAUGGCCACCUAAUCACCCCCAGCAUCCAAGCGGCUCAUUUAGCUUAUUUUCUCCCCAUAACAACAAAUAUUUAUAAAUAAAAAGUAUUACAGGCACUAAAUGUAAGGAAUCAAUCAUGUAUAUUAUAAUCUGGAUCAGGCGUUUGUCUAAAAUGACUAAUGCAAAUGUAAUCACAUUGAAGAAAAGUCCAAGGUAAUAGAGCAAAGUCUGUGAAGUGGUAUCUCAGGAAGAUGUGUUGGCAGGCGCUUUUUGUGUGUCAGUCCUGGAGAUAUGUGGGCACACAUCUGCGCCUGUCUGCUGCUUAUAGCGACAUUUGAUGUGGAUCCCAGUUUCUUUACAGCGAUCCAAAGCAUUGUUUUAGUUGAGAGGGUAAUUCGCUGUCACAAACCACAAUUACAUUAUUCAGAGUUAGUGUACAUUAACUUGCUUCUAAAUAAGGAUCAUACUGCAUAUCAAGGGAUUGUGUCUGUCAAGUGAUUUUUCAAUGCUUGUGGGGUUUAAUCACUGUACCAAUAGAUAAGGUGAAGCAAUCUUUACGGCCCAUAUCUAGCCAGCAGGAUAAUACAGCAGUGUCGCCCGAGCUGAAAUAUGAUAGCGAUUGUUUUUUUCAGCACAUUUGUUUCAGAAAGAGUAAAGGAAAGGUUAUUCACCAUGAAGAGCAGGAAUUACAUUCGUCCAAGUCAGUGUACCUUUACUUUCUUCCAAAUACGGAUCGCACUGUGAACCAAGGGAAUUUGUCUAUUACGUGAUUUUUCUGUGUGUGAAGGGAUCAUAAUCACUGCACCAAUGGAUAAGGGGCCACAGUGUCUGUUUGAGUGAAUGGUACUAGCAUUUCCAUAGUUUUGUUGUGGUUUGGUACCUCGGUGGUGCUUUCCUCAGUUUAACGAAUUUCCAACAAGUAAUACAGUUACAAAUCUCAAAUUUUACCUGCUUAGAAUUAGUUCUUGUCAUUGUUUUUUAGUAGGAAGACGUUGCUACAUACUGUGUGAUAUUGCAAAUAUAUGUAAAGGUACCUUCAUUUGAUGAGUGUACCUACAUGUGUGCUUUUCACUAGAAAUUAAACUAUUGCAGUCAAUCGAUGUUUAUGGUUACAACUCUUUCUUAUUUCUACAUUGCAAGUAAUUGUACUAUUUUCUUUAAAUUAUUUUACUAGUGCCACUUUUUCAUAUAAGUUGUGCCUGUAUGGCUGAUUCUGUAUUGAGGUUCUUGCCAUAAUGUACUUUUCACUGAUGAUAGGGUUGAUAAGACUACUGUGUUUAUGGUAUUUAUUUUUCUUUUCAAAGUCUUUCACCAGUUAUAUCAUAUCAAAGACUGCACAUUUCUUUUCACUGGUUUAUGCAAUGAUCAAUAUUUUCUUGCAUUUUCUGAGAAUUUGCCCAGAACCUUAUGUUAUAUUUUGUAUGAGAAUAAUUUUAAAGAAGAGACCUCUGUGGACUGAAAUUUGAUGUUCAUGCAGUCCUGAAAAUAGUUAUGUUCGUUGGUUUGCCAUAAACCCUAAUAUUCAGUUGUGGUUUUAUACUGGUCUUUUUUCUCACUUUUCUCAUGUAGUGAUUAUUGCAUCUCGGAUGAACGAUAAAUAGAUUGUUGAAAUGAGAGAUGAUAAUAUAACAAAAUAGGGCAAUGUGAUAAGCCUACCGCUGAAAAUAUUAUUUUGAUGUUGGGUGUUCAAUUUGAAAUUGUCAGUAAGGAAACAUUGUAUAUUUUAUGGAGAUCGAAAGUAUAAAAUGUAUCUGAGGUGUAAUUGUAUUGUAUUAUCAACCAUGUUCAACAUAAAUCUGAUUAAUAAAAGUAUUUUCUUCUGUGUUAUAUCCAGUCUGUACAUGUUUGCUGGUAUCCAUACAUUUUUAGGAAC
ensembl:lncRNA